rnacentral:rRNA from 1 species
UACGUAGGGGGCUAGCGUUGUCCGGAAUCAUUGGGCGUAAAGCGCGUGUAGGCGGCCCGGUAAGUCCGCUGUGAAAGCCGGGGGCUCAACCCUCGGAUGCCGGUGGAUACUGUCGGGCUAGAGUCCGGUAGGGGCGAGUGGAAUUCCUGGUGUAGCGGUGAAAUGCGCAGAUAUCAGGAGGAACACCAAUGGCGAAGGCAGCUCGCUGGAACGGUACUGACGCUGAGGCGCGAAAGCGUGGGGAGCAAACAGG